GCGAUCUCGCGAGGCUACGAAGAUUAAUCGAUCCACCGCGACGUUGAGCAAAUUUUCAAGAUGCGUUAAAGACGCAUUUUUUGACAUCGACCAUUUUAACUACCACCUUCAAAUUUCAUGAAUGAAAUUAUUAGCCCCCGAGUGUUGAUCUCUGCUUACUUUUUCACUCUCGAUGACUCAGGCACGCGAAGCUUUUGAAAAGUUCUAAUAUUAAACCAGGCAAACUGGUUCUAUGUCAACCAGAGAAUUCUUGGCUUCGAGCUCCGCGAGUUCAGUUUGAAAAUUCUUGGAAAAAAUAUGACGGGCAAUGUGUGUGUGACAUGUUUCUGAAUGAAGGAAGUAAGCUAAGUUUCGUGAAUGAUGAAGAAGAUAUGUAGAUUAAUGUGGAAGAAGACUUUGAAGAAGAAGAUCUUUUCGUGACAAUCUUCGUUUACAAGGAAAUCUACUUUGAGAAUCGUUAGGUACCUAUGCCAACAGCUGGCAGAGAAACUGAGUUCUUCGUGUGCCUUUAUUCGGAAACGGGUAAAUAUUCUACUCCAAUCCCUCCCUAAACCUCAAAGAAGCGAAGAGCCAAUCCAAUAAAGAAUUCACGAUCACUGGCCAGACGAGGCAACAAAUUUUCUAAUAAACUGGUAAAGAACUAAAUAUUCAACGAAAGAGGAACAAAAUAGAUACAUCGAGAGCCCUGAAACUUCCCAUCGUCCAUUCGUGUCAACCUCAUGGAAUCGUAAAAUAGUCUUGUGGCGUCGACAUCCGGAACAUCGACUUCCUACUCUGGCUGAACUCUUUUGACGAGGAAAUCCCCCGGGUGUAGAAAGUUCCUUGCCUCGGGUUCUUUCGUUCGUUCAACGGCUAGUUCGUCAGACUAAACGAAGCCCGCGGCUACGUGAAAAAGCAGCCACGAUCACAGAUCUCCGCGCUUCCCGAAUAGGAACGACCAGGUCGACGCUUCUCCAGGAAGAAGACGCCUUUUCCGGGCACACAAGCCCGCGAAAUUAGACGAUGAAUCUUCUAUGAGCGGGGUUUCCCGGACUCAACUCAUCCCGCGUUUUUCCAUGGACAUCCUCCCAGUCAUCUUUCACGCAAAACCGAAGAAGAAAAGGCGCAAGAGGAAGUGGAAAAGGGGUGAAGGCGAUUAUGUACUAACAUCUCGAUUAUGGGGGUUGCGACGUAGGCUGCUGAUGAAAGUAAGGCUGAAGAUGCACUUGACAAAAUAUAUUUCAUAACGCAAUUCUAUAUAUAAAAUAAUAGCACAAACGCAAAUUCUAUAAUUUCGACGAAAUUUCACAGCGCAAAGUCUUACGAUGAAACAUCUUACAGCGCGAUAUUUCAUAAUAGAAAGCCCGUAUUAUUGAAAAUUUAUCCACGUUGGCAAAAUCUACAUUUCCAAAUUCGACAUUUUCCUAAAUUCUACUGUGGGAGGUUCUACAAUACUUGUUCAAUUUUGGAUGAAAAAUUCGAAUUCUUUCCAUGUGCAUUUUGCGGUCACUGUUCACGAAAAACUGAAGAAGAGAAGAUGCGAGAGCAAGUGGAUGCAGGUUGAAGGGCGCUGAUUACGAGCACCUCUAUUACGCGGGUUGUGAUCUAGGUUGCUGAGGCUGAAGAUGCAUUUCCGCGUGAGAGAAAACGCAGAGCUGCGUUGACCUUUAAAUGUUGCGGUUAUUAAUACGAUGCUUCCAUCGAUGCUUAUUGACAGCUUGCUGGAGGCUAUUAUCUGUGGAGGCAGAUAAGAGAAGCUUCUGCGCUAAACAUGAAGUCACUUUUGUGAGAAUCAGUGAAUUAUUACGCGUUGAAUGCAGAAAUGUAACUAAUAGUAAGACCACAGCUGAUAUUAAUUUCUGAAGAUGAUAAUUAGGUACGGAUGAAGUACAAUAGAAAAAUCUUGGGGUAAUUUCUUUAAGGUUUUAUAUAAUGAUAAGUACAAACAUGCAGUAUAUUUAAAGUAAAUAUUUAUAAAAGGAAAAGAAGAAAUGCAACAUUACUCAUCAAAUUAGCUUUAGGUAUUUUUCAAGAGUUUUCUAAGUGUCCCAAGAAUUUUGUAAUUCCUUUGUUGGAAUACUUUAAUGAGGGAUGUGAUUUUUAUGAAGUUUUGUUGGUACAUGGAGGUGAUCGAGUUUGAAUUUGAUGCAUUAACUACACGUGACAAUAUACAGUCUUCAAGGUAACAGAUUGAUGGUUAGAGUCGUGACCUAGUUAUAGGCAUACCUGAUCCCCUGUUGUGGUUGGCCAAAAUCGAUGGUUAUUAUGUGGCUUCUUUAUGAGGAACCACGAGCUUCAACUCAAAUACCAAUUCAUUGUCUUUGAUAUCUGUAGUAUUCAAAGUGUAAUAAAUGUUGCUAGACAA